rnacentral:lncRNA from 1 species
ACACUAACCUUACGAUACACUACUCUCAAUCUCACUCUAAACACGAAAACCAUGGUUUUAAAGAGAAUCAAGCAAGAAGGCUCACCUUCGGCGGUGAUUCGGCGGCGAUGGUGAGCUUGUAUCUUCCUCCCUUCGCUAGGUUUUUUCACGCCAUCGCCUGAAGAUUAGGGUUUCUGUGGUUAGGAUUUUCGUUUGGAAAAAUUUAGGGUUUUUUC